UUUCCGUAGGUGAACCUGCGGAAGGAUCAUUACAGAGUUCAUGCCCGAAAGGGUAGACCUCCCACCCUUGUGUAUUAUUACUUUGUUGCUUUGGCGAGCGCAGGCUCGCCAGAGAAUACCAAAACUCUUUUUAUUAAUGUCGUCUGAGUACUAUAUAAUAGUUAAAACUUUCAACAACGGAUCUCUUGGUUCUGACAUCGAUGAAGAACGCAGC
rnacentral:misc_RNA from 1 species